GAAAUAAAACUAGAGGCAAAAAUUUAGAAAAGAUUGCAAUAGAUAUUCAUAAAAUAAUUGAUGAAACGUUACGUCACAACAUCAAGGAUAACGCAUACGAAAAUAUACCCUAUAAGACUGCUUCUGGAAUACUUAAAAUUACUAAUCUUACACUACUCAUUCAACAUCUUGCCAAAAAUGCUAAUAUGACAUUACCUAAAAACACGCACAUAAUAAUCCAAAAGUCAUUUUUUGAAAACUUCAACAAAUUCACUGAGAAAUUCAC